rnacentral:rRNA from 1 species
AUCUUCCGCAAUGGACGAAAGUCUGACGGAGCAACGCCGCGCGAGUGAUGAAGGCUUUCGGGUCGUAAAACUCUGUUGUUAGGGAAGAACAAGUGCUAGUGGAAUAAGCUGGCACCUUGACGGUACCUAACCAGAAAGCCACGGCUAACUACGUGCCACCAGCCGAGGUCAUACGUAGGUGGCAAGCGUUAUCCGGAAUUAUUGGGCGUAAAGCGCGAGGAGGUGGUUUCUUAAGUCUGAUGUGAAAGCCCACGGCUCAACCGUGGAGGGUCAUUGGAAACUGGGAGACUUGAGUGCAGAAGAGGAAAGUGGAAUUCCAUGUGUAGCGGUGAAAUGCGUAGAGAUAUGGAGGAGCACCAGUGGCGAAGGCGACUUUCUGGUCUGUAACUGACACUGAGGCGCGAAAGCGUGGGGAGCAAACAG